GUUGAUUUGUGUUUCUCCUGCCUGUGGAUUUAUUAAAGGGGUCAUAGGAUGCCACUGAACAGUGUCAAUAGCCACGUUUCCACUGUCAGGCCAAAAGUGGGUGUGCUAGAAGAAGAGGUGUUUAGUCUGGUGACAUCAACGCUGUAUCGAGAGCAUCAAGCCACAAGGACUGACUGAAAACAGAUCAUUGCUUUAAGUCAGGUAAAAAGAGAGAGAAUGGAUAUUUCUACCAUGUCAAAACAGCAUUCUUCCAGGAACAUCACAACAAAUAACACAAGCAAUACAGAGUCACCCUUCGAUUUUAACACCACCGGAGGGAUCCUCAACCUCAUUGUUGUGCUUCCUGAAAACUGUUAUGUGAUCUGGCUGAUCGUCACAGGAGCUGGAAAUGGAGUUGCAUCAGAGUUCUUCAGUCUCAAUCUGUGUGUUUGUGAGAUGUUUCUCUGUCUACAGUCUUUUUUAUCUCUGCUAAGCAGCACUUUUCCAGGUAUCUAUAUUUAUGUGCAGUUUCUGGCAGGUGUUUCCAUGACUGGUCGUCCUCUGUUUCAGUGUCUGAUCUGUGUUGAUUGCUACAUGGCAGUGAUUCAUCCAUUCACCUUUCUGAAGUUCAAAGCUCUCAGAUAUAAAGUGAUCUGCUCCACUGCUGGCUGGCUCAUGAUUGUUAUAGACUGUGUGUUUGUCAGUGGUAAUGUAAUUCCAAAUCAAUUUUAUUCAUUCAUGUGCAUUUCCUUGUGUCUGUCUCUACUCGCUUUGUCUGUGAAAUUAUUCUGCUGUUUGGCUGUUCUCAGAGCUCUGAAACAGUCAGGACCAGGUGCGAAAGGAAGAGAUAAAACAAAGGAAAAUAUCAUAAAGAGAAGAGCAUUUCAAAUCAUUGUACUGAUUUUAAUGGCAACGGUAGUCACAUAUGCUGCGUAUUUGGUGGCAGCACUCAUUUUAGUUCUGACACAUCAGUUUAUUUCAAUGCUCUGGACUGCUGGUCACGUGUGUUUUGUACUGGGUGGUUUGGUUCAGCCUCUCCUUUAUUUAUAUAGGACUGGAAAACUAUCCUUUUGUAAAUCCCCAUAGUCACUUUGGUUUUUGUCUAUACAUGUACAUCACUUUUUUAGAUUGUUAAAAGUGGUGUCAUGUUUUGCUCAAUGAGAGAAUAUACUAACAUGUUUAGCUGCUUCAUUUGCUUCUUGU